GCCUGCCUAUACAUGCAGUCCGAACGCUUCCUUUCCUCCCGAGUGCUUGCACUCAAUUGGAAAGAGGAGUGGCGGACGGGUGAGUAACACGUGGGUAACCUACCCAUCAGAGGGGGAUAACACUUGGAAACAGGUGCUAAUACCGCAUAACAGUUUAUGCCGCAUGGCAUAAGAGUGAAAGGCGCUUUCGGGUGUCGCUGAUGGAUGGACCCGCGGUGCAUUAGCUAGUUGGUGAGGUAACGGCUCACCAAGGCCACGAUGCAUAGCCGACCUGAGAGGGUGAUCGGCCACACUGGGACUGAGACACGGCCCAGACUCCUACGGGAGGCAGCAGUAGGGAAUCUUCGGCAAUGGACGAAAGUCUGACCGAGCAACGCCGCGUGAGUGAAGAAGGUUUUCGGAUCGUAAAACUCUGUUGUUAGAGAAGAACAAGGACGUUAGUAACUGAACGUCCCCUGACGGUAUCUAACCAGAAAGCCACGGCUAACUACGUGCCAGCAGCCGCGGUAAUACGUAGGUGGCAAGCGUUGUCCGGAUUUAUUGGGCGUAAAGCGAGCGCAGGCGGUUUCUUAAGUCUGAUGUGAAAGCCCCCGGCUCAACCGGGGAGGGUCAUUGGAAACUGGGAGACUUGAGUGCAGAAGAGGAGAGUGGAAUUCCAUGUGUAGCGGUGAAAUGCGUAGAUAUAUGGAGGAACACCAGUGGCGAAGGCGGCUCUCUGGUCUGUAACUGACGCUGAUGCUCGAAAGCGUGGGGAGCACACAGGAUUAGAUACCCUGGUAGUCCACGCCGUACACGAUGAGUGCUAAGUGUUGGAGGGUUUCCUCCGCUCAUUGCUGCACCAAACUCAAUAAGCACUCCCCCCGGGGGAGUAGGAGCGCAACGUUGAGACUCAAAAGAAAUGACGGGGGCCCGCGCACACCGUGGAGCAUGUGGUU
rnacentral:rRNA from 1 species